UACGUAGGGUGCGAGCGUUAAUCGGAAUUACUGGGCGUAAAAGCGUGCGCAGGCGGUUCGUCAAGUCUGAUGUGAAAGCCCCCGGGCUCAACCUGGGAACUGCAUUGGAAACUAGCGAGCUUGAGUGUGGCAGAGGGGGGGUGGAAUUCCACGUGUAGCAGUGAAAUGCGUAGAGAUGUGGAGGAACACCGAUGGCGAAGGCAGCCCCCUGGGCUGACACUGACGCUCAGGCACGAAAGCGUGGGGAGCAAACAGG
rnacentral:rRNA from 1 species